rnacentral:rRNA from 1 species
AACGCGAAGAACCUUACCUGGUCUUGACAUCCACAGAACUUUCCAGAGAUGGAUUGGUGCCUUCGGGAACUGUGAGACAGGUGCUGCAUGGCUGUCGUCAGCUCGUGUUGUGAAAUGUUGGGUUAAGUCCCGCAACGAGCGCAACCCUUAUCCUUUGUUGCCGGCGGUUAGGCCGGGAACUCAAAGGAGACUGCCAGUGAUAAACUGGAGGAAGGUGGGGAUGACGUCAAGUCAUCAUGGCCCUUACGACCAGGGCUACACACGUGCUACAAUGGCAUAUACAAAGAGAAGCGACCUCGCGAGGGCAAGCGGACCUCAUAAAGUAUGUCGUAGUCCGGAUUGGAGUCUGCAACUCGACUCCAUGAAGUCGGAAUCGCUAGUAAUCGUAGAUCAGAAUGCUACGGUGAAUACGUUCCCGGGUCUUGUACACACCG